AUUGAACGCUGGCGGCAUGCCUUACACAUGCAAGUCGAACGGUAACAGGUCUUCGGAUGCUGACGAGUGGCGCACGGGUGCGUAAUACAUCGGAACGUGCCCGAUCGUGGGGGAUAACGAAGCGAAAGCUUUGCUAAUACCGCAUACGAUCUACGGAUGAAAGCAGGGGACCGCAAGGCCUUGCGCGACCGGAGCGGCCGAUGGCAGAUUAGGUAGUUGGUGGGAUAAAAGCUUACCAAGCCGACGAUCUGUAGCUGGUCUGAGAGGACGACCAGCCACACUGGGACUGAGACACGGCCCAGACUCCUACGGGAGGCAGCAGUGGGGAAUUUUGGACAAUGGGCGAAAGCCUGAUCCAGCCAUGCCGCGUGCAGGAUGAAGGCCUUCGGGUUGUAAAAUGCUUUUGUACGGAACGAAAAGACUCUGGUUAAUACCUGGGGUCCAUGACGGUACCGUAAGAAUAAGCACCGGCUAACUACGUG
rnacentral:rRNA from 1 species